AUGGGUUUGGUUUGGGUCGCUCCCACCCUUAGAAUGGGUUUGUUCACGUGCAGGACUGAGGUAAGGAAGGCAUAGGGCUGCCUGAGGCAUGUGACACAGACAUGCUUUUGGUGUCUGUGUGUGUCCGAUUUUGCAGUUCUUCAUAAUACAUGUACGAUGUGUGGGCUCUUAAUUACUCAUUUCAACACCCUCGCACAUGAUCGUGACACUCACACACACAUUCUCACAAACACCUAAUGGCUAAUGCUAUUUAUUAAGCACUGCACCAACAACCCUCACCCUCUCCUUUUUUAUUAGCCUCCAAUUCCAAACACAGUUAUUCACUGUUUAACUCAAAUAAUUAUUAACAGAUAGAUAGGAAUUGAUGGAGAGGAGAAUAUUGACUCAGCUGUCAGAAAGGAGGCUUUGAUGGAAAGAUGUUGAUGUCAUUUCAAAUGGCUGUGUGUGUCCUUUGUAUGCCACCAAGCCAUUAUUAUUAUUAUCAACCACUUCUACACCUUUUUCCUUCUCUUUGGACCCUUCUGUGCGUGUAUCACUAUGUCACCACUCACACUUGGAGGCUAGGUUUGUGUGUUUCUGUCUCUGUUAUGUGGCUGUGAUCAUCAUCAUCAUCAU
rnacentral:lncRNA from 1 species